UAACGAAUAUUGGGCAAUGGGCGAAAGCCUGACCCAGCAAUGCCGCGUGCAGGACGAAGUCCUUCGGGAUGUAAACUGCUGUCAGGGGUCCGCAAGCGAAGGGGUCCAACAGGCCCUGGAGUUGAGCAGCCCCAGAGGAAGCCUCGACUAACUCUGUGCCAGCAGUCGCGGUAAGACAGAGGAGGCGAGCGUUAUCCGGAUUUAUUGGGCGUAAAGCGUGUGUAGGUGGUUUAUUAAGUAUAAAAUUAAAGCCCGAGGCUUAACCUCGGUUCGUUUUAUAAACUGGUAGACUUGAGUAUGGUAGAGGCAAAUGGAAUUUCUAGUGUAGCGGUAGAAUGCGUAGAUAUUAGAAGGAACACCAGUGGCGAAAGCGAUUUGCUGGGCCAUUACUGACACUGAGACACGAAAGCGUGGGGAGCAAAUA
rnacentral:rRNA from 1 species